rnacentral:misc_RNA from 1 species
GAUGAAGAACGUAGUGAAAUGCGAUAAGUAGUGUGAAUUGCAGAAUUCAGUGAAUCAUCGAAUCUUUGAACGCACAUUGCGCCCCUUGGUAUUCCAUGGGGCAUGCCUGUUCGAGCGUCAUUUGUACCUUCAAGCUUUGCUUGGUGUUGGGUGUUUGUCCUGAGGGACUCGCCUUAAAGUAAUUGGCAGCCAGUGUUUGGUUUUGAAGUGCAGCACAAGUCGCGAUUCAAGGCUAUACACCAGCUUCCACAAGCCUUUUUCACUUUUGACCUCGGAUCAGGUAGGGAUACCCGCUGAACUUAAGCAUAUCAAUAAGCGGAGGA